CUGUAAUGAUGACAUCUUAGGACACCUUUGGAUUAAAGAUGAAAAAACUUUAUUUCUGAUCAGC